AAAAACCUCAAGAAUGUCUUUUAAGGAUAUGAAAUGAUAAAGAAGUCUUCGGGUCAUUGGAAGUUCCAUGUUUCUGCCAAGGUGCCUUCUCUCCCUAGGGGAGUCGGAGCUCUGCAAACACGUGUGACCACAUGCUGCCGGCCAUAAGAUGGAUGCUCACAUCUGCAGGCUGACUUGGGAGGAGAAACUGAGGCCCUGAGAAGCAAAGGAAGGCUUUCGGGCUGAAAGAACCAAUAAUGGAUGCCGGAAGGGCAGGCAGGAGUACCCUUGGAUACUUACUGUUGAAGCUCGGGACAGUACAUGUGCUUGGGGAAGAAGGACAGCGGCCUGACCCUCAGCAUUCUA
rnacentral:sRNA from 1 species